UACGUAGGGUGCAAGCGUUGUCCGGAAUUAUUGGGCGUAACGAGCUCGUAGGCGGUUUGUCGCGUCUGCUGUGAAAACCCGAGGCUCAACCUCGGGCCUGCAGUGGGUACGGGCAGACUAGAGUGCUGUAGGGGAGACUGGAAUUCCUGGUGUAGCGGUGAAAUGCGCAGAUAUCAGGAGGAACACCGGUGGCGAAGGCGGGUCGCUGGGCAGUGGCUGACGCUGAGGCGCGACAGCGUGGGGAGCAAACAGG
rnacentral:rRNA from 1 species